rnacentral:rRNA from 1 species
GAUGAACGCUGGCGGCGUGCCUAAUACAUGCAAGUCGAGCGAACGGACGAGAAGCUUGCUUCUCUGAUGUUAGCGGCGGACGGGUGAGUAACACGUGGAUAACCUACCUAUAAGACUGGGAUAACUUCGGGAAACCGGAGCUAAUACCGGAUAAUAUUUUGAACCGCAUGGUUCAAAAGUGAAAGACGGUCUUGCUGUCACUUAUAGAUGGAUCCGCGCUGCAUUAGCUAGUUGGUAAGGUAACGGCUUACCAAGGCAACGAUGCAUAGCCGACCUGAGAGGGUGAUCGGCCACACUGGAACUGAGACACGGUCCAGACUCCUACGGGAGGCAGCAGUAGGGAAUCUUCCGCAAUGGGCGAAAGCCUGACGGAGCAACGCCGCGUGAGUGAUGAAGGUCUUCGGAUCGUAAAACUCUGUUAUUAGGGAAGAACAUAUGUGUAAGUAACUGUGCACAUCUUGACGGUACCUAAUCAGAAAGCCACGGCUAACUACGUGCCAGCAGCCGCGGUAAUACGUAGGUGGCAAGCGUUAUCCGGAAUUAUUGGGCGUAAAGCGCGCGUAGGCGGUUUUUUAAGUCUGAUGUGAAAGCCCACGGCUCAACCGUGGAGGGUCAUUGGAAACUGGGAAACUUGAGUGCAGAAGAGGAAAGUGGAAUUCCAUGUGUAGCGGUGAAAUGCGCAGAGAUAUGGAGGAACACCAGUGGCGAAGGCGACUUUCUGGUCUGUAACUGACGCUGAUGUGCGAAAGCGUGGGGAUCAAACAGGAUUAGAUACCCUGGUAGUCCACGCCGUAAACGAUGAGUGCUAAGUGUUAGGGGGUUUCCGCCCCUUAGUGCUGCAGCUAACGCAUUAAGCACUCCGCCUGGGGAGUACGACCGCAAGGUUGAAACUCAAAGGAAUUGACGGGGACCCGCACAAGCGGUGGAGCAUGUGGUUUAAUUCGAAGCAACGCGAAGAACCUUACCAAAUCUUGACAUCCUUUGACAACUCUAGAGAUAGAGCUUUCCCCUUCGGGGGACAAAGUGACAGGUGGUGCAUGGUUGUCGUCGGCUCGUGUCGUGAGAUGCUGGGUUAAGUCCCGCAACGAGCGCAACCCUUAAGCUUAGUUGCCAUCAUUAAGUUGGGCACUCUAAGUUGACUGCCGGUGACAAACCGGAGGAAGGUGGGGAUGACGUCAAAUCAUCAUGCCCCUUAUGAUUUGGGCUACACACGUGCUACAAUGGACAAUACAAAGGGCAGCGAAACCGUGAGGUCAAGCAAAUCCCAUAAAGUUGUUCUCAGUUCGGAUUGUAGUCUGCAACUCGACUACAUGAAGCUGGAAUCGCUAGUAAUCGUAGAUCAGCAUGCUACGGUGAACACGUUCCCGGGUCU